rnacentral:lncRNA from 1 species
UGGGGGUAGGCAUGAACAUAACAGGACAUUCAACUCUGGAUACUUCUCAAAUGGGCUUGGUCGAGAUAAAUUAGCUGAGCUCCACCCCUUUGUAUUUUAUCUUGAACUAGAACAUGGACUAAGGGAGUAGGUCGGUUCGGUGGUCCUGGAACACGAGCAUGUUCUAUAUCUAGCCCCACAUUUGCAACACCUUAGUUAUAGAAUUGUAGAGGCGUUUGUAUACAUCCAUAGGGAUAUACACACGUAAAUAGAGAAGUAAACUGGGUUCAGAACAG